rnacentral:rRNA from 1 species
CCUACGGGUGGCAGCAGUAGGGAAUAUUGCUCAAUGGGGGAAACCCUGAAGCAGCAACGCCGCGUGGAGGAUGAAGGUUCUACGAUUUGUAAAUCCCUUUUUUAGAGAAGCUAAUGACGGUACCUAACGAAUAAGCACCGGCUAAUUCUGUGCCAGCAGCGGCGGUAAUACGGAGGGAGCAAGCGUUACUCGGAAUCACUGGGCUUAAAGGGGGCGUAGGCGGGAUAGCAAGUUAGAGGUGAAAUCCUACGGCUUAACCCUAGAACUGCAUUUGAAACUGGUAUACUAGAGUAUGGGAGAGGUAGGUGGAAUGCUUGGUGUAGCGGUAAAAUGCGUAGAGAUCACGAAGAAUACUGAUUGCGAAGGCAGCCUGCUAGAACAUAACUGACGCUGAUGCACGAAAGCGUGGGGAGCGAACAGGAUUAGAUACCCGGGUAGUC